rnacentral:rRNA from 1 species
AACGAACGCUGGCGGCAUGCCUAACACAUGCAAGUCGAACGAAACCUUCGGGUCUAGUGGCGCACGGGUGCGUAACGCGUGGGAACCUGCACUUAGGUUCGGAAUAACUCUCCGACAGGGGUGCUAAUACCGGAUAAUGUCUUCGGACCAAAGAUUUAUCGCAUUUGGAUGGGCGGGCGUUGGAUUAGCUGGUUGGUAGGGUUAUAGCCUACCAAGGCGACGAUUAAUAGCUGGUCUGAGAGGAUGGUCAGCCACACUGGGAGUGGGAAGCGGCCCAGACUCCUACGGGAGGCAGCAGUGGGGAAUAGUGGACAAUGGGCGGAAGCCUGAUCGAGCAAUGCCGCGUGAGUGAUGAAGGCCUUAGGGUUGUAAAGCUCUUUUACCCGGGAUGAUAAUGACAGUACCGGGAGAAUAAGCCCCGGCUAACUCCGUG